rnacentral:rRNA from 1 species
CCUACGGGUGGCAGCAGUGAGGAAUAUUGGUCAAUGGACGCGAGUCUGAACCAGCCAAGUAGCGUGAAGGAUGACUGCCCUAUGGGUUGUAAACUUCUUUUAUAUGGGAAUAAAAUGUUCCACGUGUGCGUUUUUGUAUGUACCAUAUGAAUAAGGAUCGGCUAACUCCGUGCCAGCAGCCGCGGUAAUACGGAGGAUCCGAGCGUUAUCCGGAUUUAUUGGGUUUAAAGGGAGCGUAGAUGGGUUGUUAAGUCAGUUGUGAAAGUUUGCGGCUCAACCGGAAAAUUGCAAUUGAUACUGGCAGUCUGGAGUACAGUUGAGGUAAGCGGAAUUCGUGGUGUAGCGGUGAAAUGCUUAGAUAUCACGAAGAACCCCGAUUGCGAAGGCAGCUUACUAAACUGUGACUGACAUUGAUGCUCGAAAGUGUGGGUAUCAAACAGGAUUAGAUACCCUGGUAGUC